rnacentral:SRP_RNA from 1 species
GCCAGGCCCAGUGGCUCAUGCCUGUAAUCCCAGCACUUUGGGAGGCUGAGGCGGGAGGAUCACGAGGUCAGUUGUUUGAGAGCAGCCUGACCAACAUGGUGAAACCCCAUCUCUGCUAAAAAUACAAACAUUAGCUGGACGUGGUGGCGGGUGCCUGUGAUCCCAGCUAUUCGGGAGGCUGAGGCAGGAGAAUUGCUNNNNNNNNNNUAGCUGGGAUCACAGGCACCCGCCACCACGUCCAGCUAAUGUUUGUAUUUUUAGCAGAGAUGGGGUUUCACCAUGUUGGUCAGGCUGCUCUCAAACAACUGACCUCGUGAUCCUCCCUUUUUU